UACGAAGGGGGCUAGCGUUGUUCGGAAUUACUGGGCGUAAAGCGCACGUAGGCGGAUUGUUAAGUUAGGGGUGAAAUCCCGGGGCUCAACCCCGGAACUGCCUUUAAUACUGGCAAUCUCGAGUCCGAGAGAGGUGAGUGGAAUUCCGAGUGUAGAGGUGAAAUUCGUAGAUAUUCGGAGGAACACCAGUGGCGAAGGCGGCUCACUGGGCACCACCUGACGCUGAGGCGCGAAAGCGUGGGGAGCGAACCGG
rnacentral:rRNA from 1 species